GCUUAUGUACAUGCCUACAACGUAAAUGUAAUGGAUCCCAUCAGAACUCCGCAGUUAAGCGCGCUUGGGCUAGAGUAUUUUUGGGAUGGGUGACCUCUUGGGAAAUCCUAGUGUUUUACAUGCC
rfam:Picea glauca, whole genome shotgun sequence.